AGAGUUUGAUCAUGGCUCAGAACGAACGCUGGCGGCAUGCCUAACACAUGCAAGUCGAACGAGACCUUCGGGUCUAGUGGCGCACGGGUGCGUAACGCGUGGGAAUCUGCCCUUGGGUACGGAACAACAGUUAGAAAUGACUGCUAAUACCGUAUAAUGACUUCGGUCCAAAGAUUUAUCGCCCAGGGAUGAGCCCGCGUCGGAUUAGCUAGUUGGUGGGGUAAAAGCUCACCAAGGCGACGAUCCGUAGCUGGUCUGAGAGGAUGAUCAGCCACACUGGGACUGAGACACGGCCCAGACUCCUACGGGAGGCAGCAGUGGGGAAUAUUGGACAAUGGGCGAAAGCCUGAUCCAGCAAUGCCGCGUGAGUGAUGAAGGCCUUAGGGUUGUAAAGCUCUUUUACCCGGGAUGAUAAUGACAGUACCGGGAGAAUAAGCCCCGGCUAACUCCGUGCCAGCCGCCGCGGUAAUAC
rnacentral:rRNA from 1 species